UAGUUGGUGGGGUAAAGGCCUACCAAGGCGACGAUCUGUAGCGGGUCUGAGAGGAUGAUCCGCCACACUGGAACUGAGACACGGUCCAGACUCCUACGGGAGGCAGCAGUGGGGAAUUUUGGACAAUGGGGGCAACCCUGAUCCAGCCAUGCCGCGUGAGUGAAGAAGGCCUUCGGGUUGUAAAGCUCUUUCGUCCGGGAAGAAAUCGCACAGGCUAAUACUCUGUGUGGAUGACGGUACCGGAAUAAGAAGCACCGGCUAACUACGUGCCAGCAGCCGCGGUAAUACGUAGGGUGCGAGCGUUAAUCGGAAUUACUGGGCGUAAAGCGUGCGCAGGCGGUUUUGUAAGACAGGCGUGAAAUCCCCGGGCUCAACCUGGGAACUGCGCUUGUGACUGCAAGGCUAGAGUACGGCAGAGGGGGGUGGAAUUCCACGUGUAGCAGUGAAAUGCGUAGAGAUGUGGAGGAACACCGAUGGCGAAGGCAGCCCCCUGGGCCGAUACUGACGCUCAUGCACGAAAGCGUGGGUAGCAAACAGGAUUAGAUACCCUGGUAGUCCACGCCCUAAACGAUGUCAACUAGGUGUUGGGUGGGUAAAACCAUUUAGUACCGUAGCUAACGCGUGAAGUUGACCGCCUGGGGAGUACGGCCGCAAGGUUAAAACCCAAAGGAAUUGACGGGGACCCGCACAAGCGGUGGAUGAUGUGGAUUAAUUCGAUGCAACGCGAAAAACCUUACCUACCCUUGACAUGUCCGGAAUCCCUGAGAGAUUGGGGAGUGCCCGAAAGGGAAUCGGAACACAGGUGCUGCAUGGCUGUCGUCAGCUCGUGUCGUGAGAUGUUGGGUUAAGUCCCGCAACGAGCGCAACCCUUGUCGUUAAUUGCCAUCAUUAAGUUGGGCACUUUAGCGAGACUGCCGG
rnacentral:rRNA from 1 species